GGCCAGUCUUGUAUUGGCUCUCUGAGACGAUGCAAGAUUUGGUCAUCCGUAUGGGAAGCUAGCUCGGCCUUCACUGGUCGGCUAGUGGAUCAUACACUUUACUUUGAAAAAAUUAGAGUGUUUCAGGCAGGCAAUUGCUUGGAUACUUCAGCAUGGAAUAAUGGAAUAGGACUUUGACCUAUUUGUUGGUUUCUUGAGGUCAAAGUA
rnacentral:rRNA from 1 species